rnacentral:sRNA from 1 species
UUUAGCUCCGGAGCUUCCAGAGUCCUGGCCCUGAGCGGGAAUCGCAGUGGCCGAGGCUGAGCGGCAGGGCAGCGCGGGAUCUGGGGCCGUCGGUCCGGUGGAGGCCGCCAUUCGCACGAAGUUGGAGCAGGCCCUGAGCCCCGAGGUGCUAGAACUUCGCAACGAGAGCGGUGGCCACGCGGUCCCGCCUGGCAGUGAGACGCACUUCCGCGUGGCUGUGGUGAGCUCUCGUUUCGAGGGACUGAGCCCCCUACAACGACACCGGCUGAUCCACGCAGCACUGGCCGAGGAGCUGGCAGGGCCGGUCCAUGCGCUGGCCAUCCAGGCACGGACCCCCGCCCAGUGGGGAGAGAACUCUCAGCUGGACACUAGCCCCCCAUGCCUGGGUGGAAACAAGAAAACUCUAGGAACCCCCUGAACCCCAAGAGAGAGGGAGGACCAGGAUCCGAAUGGGCUGGGUGAGCACGAAUUACUGAGGCCUUCCCUUUGAUACAGUCCAGGAUUUGUAAGGGAUGAAGACCCCUGGGCCCCAUUCUGUUGGGGUCCAUACGUAUUCUCCGAAGAUAGCAACUUGCUUCAGGUCAAAGUGAACCCGAGAAAAGAGAAGAAUCACUCACUACUGCUCCUGCCCUGGACUAUUCAGGAAGGGCAGCCCGGAUGUUCCAUGUUAAAUCGUGACAGAACUGCACCAGACCUGAUGAGUUGGAAACAAUCCUAUACAGUAAAAGAAAUUACACUGUGAGGC